rnacentral:rRNA from 1 species
UACGGAGGUGGCAAGCGUUGUUCGGAAUUACUGGGCGUAAAGGGCGCGUAGGCGGCAUGGCAAGUCAGGUGUGAAAGCCCCGGGCUUAACUCGGGAACUGCAUCUGAAACUGCUGUGCUUGAGUCCUGGAGGGGGUAGUGGAAUUCCCAGUGUAGCGGUGAAAUGCGUAGAUAUUGGGAGGAACACCGGUGGCGAAGGCGGCUACCUGGACAGUGACUGACGCUGAGGCGCGACAGCGUGGGGAGCAAACAGG